CAGUCGCCACGGGAAUACGUAGGUGGCAAGCGUUGUCCGGAAUUAUUGGGCGUAAAGGGCUCGCAGGCGGUUUCUUAAGUCUGAUGUGAGAGCCCCCGGCUCAACCGGGGAGGGUCAUUGGAAACUGGGAAACUUGAGUGCAGAAGAGGAGAGUGGAAUUCCACGUGUAGCGGUGAAAUGCGUAGAGAUGUGGAGGAACACCAGUGGCGAAGGCGACUCUCUGGUCUGUAACUGACGCUGAGGAGCGAAAGCGUGGGGAGCGAACAGGAUUAGAUACCCGAGUAGUCCCUGUCUUUUAUAC
rnacentral:rRNA from 1 species